rnacentral:rRNA from 1 species
UACAGAGGGUGCGAGCGGUAAUCGGAAUUACUGGGCGUAAAGCGUGCGUCGGUGGUUUUUUAAGCUGGAUGUGAAAGCCCCGGGCUUAACCUGGGAACUGCAUUCAGGACUGGGAAACUUGAGUCUGGGAGAGGGUGGUGGAAUUUCCGGUGUAGCGGUGAAAUGCGUAGAUAUCGGAAGGAACAUCAGUGGCGAAGGCGACCGCCUGGCCUAAGACUGACACUGAGGCACGAAAGCGUGGGGAGCAAACAGG